ensembl:lncRNA
CCGGAGUGAAGCCACUCUCUGCUGGACUGGGGAGUACACACUAUACACAGGAAACUCUCAGAUGCCAGCGACGUCAGUGGAACAGCCUCAGGCCAACGGGUGGUCCUGUCAACCAUGGUCAACAGACGAGGAUUCCUCCUCCUGUGGCGUGGCGUCAUUAUGAUCUUGAAUUAUGAACAAAACUGAAGUAUUUGAUCACUUCCUGCUCGAUCUGCUCCGGUGGAAAUGGUCUCAUUGAUUAGCGUGGAAGCGAUCAGCAGCGGUGACCGCGGCGCGUACGCCUCCGGUGGAAUCGAGCCUUGAGGUACUUGCAGAUUUUCGAAAGAUUAAGACAAAAAGGGGGCGUGCCUUGGAGAAAUGCCGCAAGAGAGCUGGGAUCUUCGACUUUCGACUCGGAAGUCUGGCGUUCGAGGAUUCAGGAACGCACCUUUACCUCACUAUACUUUCAAAGCAGCAUACCCGACACUGAAAAUAAGUUAUUUUACAACUAAAUACUUGCAGUAAACUAUCGUUGCCAAACAGCGGUGCUGUGGUGCAAUGUGGGCUGGAAAUGUUCAAAUGCUCUGAUGAGAUGAGAAUGAAGGCUCUCGUAGAUGUUAUAAAUAUAAUUUCAUAUAUAUUAUAUAAUUAAUAUGAUAAAGGGUUAGGUGUUAUAAUAUAAACGGGGAUGAUCUUGCAGUUCGAAAACCCCCUGGUUCUUUCUAAUGGACAGAAAAGUGAAAAACAAUUUAUUUAAUUGACUUGGCGCCCCUAUAGGUAGAAGAAUGUUCGAAACUGAGUUACAAAUCAUUUCAUAUUUAGAAAGAAUAAAUAAAGAUGCACUUGUUUC